CCUACGGGAGGCAGCAGUGGGGAAUAUUGGGCAAUGGGCGCAAGCCUGACCCAGCAAAGCCGCGUGAAGGAAUAAGGCCCUCGGGUUGUAAACUUCUUUUAUCAGGGACGAAACAAAUGACGGUACCUGAUGAUUAAGCUACGGCUAACUACGUGCCAGCCGCCGCGGUAAUACGGAGGUGGCAAGCGUUAUCCGGAUUUACUGGGUGUAAAGGGCGUGUAGGCGGGAGAGCAAGUCAGACGUGAAAUUCCAGGGCUCAACCCUUGCACGGCGUUUGAAACUGUUCGUAUUGAGGGGUGGAGAGGCAGGCGGAAUUCCGGGUGUAGCGGUGAAAUGCGUAGAUAGACGGAGGAACACCAGUUGCGAAGGCGGCCUGCUGGACAUUAACUGACGCUGAGGCGCGAAAGCGUGGGGAGCAAACAGGAUUAGAUACCCCAGUAGUC
rnacentral:rRNA from 1 species